AUUGAACGCUGGCGGCAUGCCUUACACAUGCAAGUCGAACGGCAGCGCGGGAGCAAUCCUGGCGGCGAGUGGCGAACGGGUGAGUAAUAUAUCGGAACGUGCCCAGUAGUGGGGGAUAGCCCGGCGAAAGCCGGAUUAAUACCGCAUGAGACCUGAGGGUGAAAGCGGGGGAUCGCAAGACCUCGCGCUAUUGGAGCGGCCGAUAUCAGAUUAGCUAGUUGGUGGGGUAAAGGCCUACCAAGGCAACGAUCUGUAGUUGGUCUGAGAGGACGACCAGCCACACUGGGACUGAGACACGGCCUAGACUCCUACGGGAGGCAGCAGUGGGGAAUUUUGGACAAUGGGCGCAAGCCUGAUCCAGCAAUGCCGCGUGCAGGAAGAAGG
rnacentral:rRNA from 1 species